CGUACAUGUGUGUCAUAAAAUGUCAGGCGUUCGCAAUAACAUGUAAUUAAUAUCGCGACUAAUAAUCAUAGUCCGCGAGUAUACGAAAGUUUACUCGUAAUGAAAUUCGAGAAGCAAAGAGUUGGAAAUGAUGUACAAAUUUCGUCAAUGAGUAAAUUAUUCAAAGUAAGUUCAGAAAUGACAAACCGAAUAAACAAAUGAACAAAUAAUAGAGACAAGCAUCAUGGGAUGGACAAUAGCGUGUCGGUAGUGUUACAUAUACAUAUAAAAUAAUUCAGCGCAUUAUAUUUUUUUUUUACGUUUUUUUAUUUGCAAUUAUUUAUUGAGAACAUUGUAAAUUUUGAGAAAACAGAAUUUUGUAAGUUUGCUUUAUAUAUAUAUAUGUAAAGAAUUUAACGUUGACAUAAUUAUUCUGUUUCUGAUAGUAUUUUUUCGCCAAACACGUUUCAGUACUUACAAUAUUUGUAACAAAUAUACACUGGCGUUUUGCGCUCGUGCUUCCAUAUUUCAUAAUUAUACAUGUCUCAAUAUAUUCGAAUCAAGUAGGUCCGUUCCGAUGAG